AGUGAACGCUGGCGGUAGGCCUAACACAUGCAAGUCGAACGGCAGCACAGGAGAGCUUGCUCUCUGGUGGCGAGUGGCGGACGGGUGAGGAAUACAUCGGAAUCUACUCUGUCGUGGGGGAUAACGUAGGGAAACUUACGCUAAUACCGCAUACGACCUACGGGUGAAAGCAGGGGGCCUUCGGGCCUUGCGCGAUUGAAUGAGCCGAUGUCGGAUUAGCUAGUUGGCGGGGUAAAGGCCCACCAAGGCGAAGAUCCGUAGCUGGUCUGAGAGGAUGAUCAGCCACACUGGAACUGAGACACGGUCCAGACUCCUACGGGAGGCAGCAGUGGGGAAUAGUGGACAAUGGGCGCAAGCCUGAUCCAGCCAUACCGCGUGGGUGAAGAAGGCCUCCGGGUUGUAAAGCCCUUUUGUUGGGAAAGAAAUCCAGCUGGCUAAUACCCGGUUGGGAUGACGGUACCCAAAGAAUAAGCACCGGCUAACUUCGUGCCAGCCGCCGCGGUAA
rnacentral:rRNA from 1 species